rnacentral:hammerhead_ribozyme from 1 species
AUCCAGCUGACGAGUUCCAAAUAGAGCGAAGCGCGCGUCCUGGAU